GCUAGCGUAGCUUAAAUAAAGCAUAACACUGAAGGUGUUAAG
rnacentral:tRNA from 1 species